rnacentral:rRNA from 1 species
GAUUAAGUUAUUAAGGGCGCACGGUGGAUGCCUUGGCACUAGAAGCCAAUGAAGGACGUUACUAACGACGAUAUGCUUUGGGGAGCUGUAAGUAAGCUUUGAUCCAGAGAUUUCCGAAUGGGGAAACCCAGCAUGAGUUAUGUCAUGUUAUCGAUAUGUGAAUACAUAGCAUAUCAGAAGGCACACCCGGAGAACUGAAACAUCUUAGUACCCGGAGGAAGAGAAAGAAAAUUCGAUUCCCUUAGUAGCGGCGAGCGAAACGGGAAGAGCCCAAACCAACAAGCUUGCUUGUUGGGGUUGUAGGACACUCUAUACGGAGUUACAAAGGACGACAUUAGACGAAUCAUCUGGAAAGAUGAAUCAAAGAAGGUAAUAAUCCUGUAGUCGAAAAUGUUGUCUCUCUUGAGUGGAUCCUGAGUACGACGGAGCACGUGAAAUUCCGUCGGAAUCUGGGAGGACCAUCUCCUAAGGCUAAAUACUCUCUAGUGACCGAUAGUGAACCAGUACCGUGAGGGAAAGGUGAAAAGCACCCCGGAAGGGGAGUGAAAUAGAACCUGAAACCGUGUGCUUACAAGUAGUCAGAGCCCGUUAAUGGGUGAUGGCGUGCCUUUUGUAGAAUGAACCGGCGAGUUACGAUUUGAUGCAAGGUUAAGCAGUAAAUGUGGAGCCGUAGCGAAAGCGAGUCUGAAUAGGGCGUUUAGUAUUUGGUCGUAGACCCGAAACCAGGUGAUCUACCCUUGGUCAGGUUGAAGUUCAGGUAACACUGAAUGGAGGACCGAACCGACUUACGUUGAAAAGUGAGCGGAUGAACUGAGGGUAGCGGAGAAAUUCCAAUCGAACCUGGAGAUAGCUGGUUCUCUCCGAAAUAGCUUUAGGGCUAGCCUCAAGUGAUGAUUAUUGGAGGUAGAGCACUGUUUGGACGAGGGGCCCCUCUCGGGUUACCGAAUUCAGACAAACUCCGAAUGCCAAUUAAUUUAACUUGGGAGUCAGAACAUGGGUGAUAAGGUCCGUGUUCGAAAGGGAAACAGCCCAGACCACCAGCUAAGGUCCCAAAAUAUAUGUUAAGUGGAAAAGGAUGUGGCGUUGCCCAGACAACUAGGAUGUUGGCUUAGAAGCAGCCAUCAUUUAAAGAGUGCGUAAUAGCUCACUAGUCGAGUGACACUGCGCCGAAAAUGUACCGGGGCUAAACAUAUUACCGAAGCUGUGGAUUGUCCUUUGGACAAUGGUAGGAGAGCGUUCUAAGGGCGUUGAAGCAUGAUCGUAAGGACAUGUGGAGCGCUUAGAAGUGAGAAUGCCGGUGUGAGUAGCGAAAGACGGGUGAGAAUCCCGUCCACCGAUUGACUAAGGUUUCCAGAGGAAGGCUCGUCCGCUCUGGGUUAGUCGGGUCCUAAGCUGAGGCCGACAGGCGUAGGCGAUGGAUAACAGGUUGAUAUUCCUGUACCACCUAUAAUCGUUUUAAUCGAUGGGGGGACGCAGUAGGAUAGGCGAAGCGUGCGAUUGGAUUGCACGUCUAAGCAGUAAGGCUGAGUAUUAGGCAAAUCCGGUACUCGUUAAGGCUGAGCUGUGAUGGGGAGAAGACAUUGAGUCUUCGAGUCGUUGAUUUCACACUGCCGAGAAAAGCCUCUAGAUAGAAAAUAGGUGCCCGUACCGCAAACCGACACAGGUAGUCAAGAUGAGAAUUCUAAGGUGAGCGAGCGAACUCUCGUUAAGGAACUCGGCAAAAUGACCCCGUAACUUCGGGAGAAGGGGUGCUCUUUAGGGUUAACGCCCAGAAGAGCCGCAGUGAAUAGGCCCAAGCGACUGUUUAUCAAAAACACAGGUCUCUGCUAAACCGUAAGGUGAUGUAUAGGGGCUGACGCCUGCCCGGUGCUGGAAGGUUAAGAGGAGUGGUUAGCUUCUGCGAAGCUACGAAUCGAAGCCCCAGUAAACGGCGGCCGUAACUAUAACGGUCCUAAGGUAGCGAAAUUCCUUGUCGGGUAAGUUCCGACCCGCACGAAAGGCGUAACGAUUUGGGCACUGUCUCAACGAGAGACUCGGUGAAAUCAUAGUACCUGUGAAGAUGCAGGUUACCCGCGACAGGACGGAAAGACCCCGUGGAGCUUUACUGUAGCCUGAUAUUGAAAUUCGGCACAGCUUGUACAGGAUAGGUAGGAGCCUUUGAAACGUGAGCGCUAGCUUACGUGGAGGCGCUGGUGGGAUACUACCCUAGCUGUGUUGGCUUUCUAACCCGCACCACUUAUCGUGGUGGGAGACAGUGUCAGGCGGGCAGUUUGACUGGGGCGGUCGCCUCCUAAAAGGUAACGGAGGCGCUCAAAGGUUCCCUCAGAAUGGUUGGAAAUCAUUCAUAGAGUGUAAAGGCAUAAGGGAGCUUGACUGCGAGACCUACAAGUCGAGCAGGGUCGAAAGACGGACUUAGUGAUCCGGUGGUUCCGCAUGGAAGGGCCAUCGCUCAACGGAUAAAAGCUACCCCGGGGAUAACAGGCUUAUCUCCCCCAAGAGUUCACAUCGACGGGGAGGUUUGGCACCUCGAUGUCGGCUCAUCGCAUCCUGGGGCUGUAGUCGGUCCCAAGGGUUGGGCUGUUCGCCCAUUAAAGCGGUACGCGAGCUGGGUUCAGAACGUCGUGAGACAGUUCGGUCCCUAUCCGUCGUGGGCGUAGGAAAUUUGAGAGGAGCUGUCCUUAGUACGAGAGGACCGGGAUGGACAUACCUCUGGUGUACCAGUUGUCGUGCCAACGGCAUAGCUGGGUAGCUAUGUGUGGACGGGAUAAGUGCUGAAAGCAUCUAAGCAUGAAGCCCCCCUCAAGAUGAGAUUUCCCAACUUCGGUUAUAAGAUCCCUCAAAGAUGAUGAGGUUAAUAGGUUCGAGGUGGAAGCAUGGUGACAUGUGGAGCUGACGAAUACUAAUCGAUCGAAGACUUAAUCAA